AAUCAACGCUGGCGGCGUGCCUCAGACAUGCAAGUCGAACGAUUAAAGCUCGUCUUCGGAGAGUGUAUAGAGUGGCGCACGGGUGAGUAACACGUAAGUAAUCUACCUUCGAGUGGGAAUAACGUCCGGAAACGGACGCUAAUACCGCAUAAUGCAGCGGCAUCGCAAGAUGACAGUUGUUAAAGAUUUAUCGCUUGAAGAGGAGCUUGCGGCAGAUAGCUUGUUGGUAAGGUAACGGCUUACCAAGGCUACGAUCUGUAACCGGUCUAAGAGGACGGUCGGUCACACUGACACUGAAUAACGGGUCAGACU
rnacentral:rRNA from 1 species